rnacentral:rRNA from 1 species
UACGGGGGGGGCAAGCGUUGUUUGAAAUUACUGGGCGUAAAGCGUGCGUAGACGGUUAUUUAAGUCAGGUGUGAAAGCCCCGGGCUCAACCUGGGAAUUGCAUUUGAGACUGAAUAGCUAGGGUGCGGAAGAGGGAAGCGGAAUUUCCGGUGUAGCGGUGAAAUGCGUAGAUAUCGGAAGGAACACCAGUGGCGAAAGCGGCUUCCUGGUCCAGCACCGACGUUCAGGCACGAAAGCGUGGGGAGCAAACAGG